GCCUCGCUAGCUCAAUCGGUAGAGCGUGAGACUCUUACAGGUCUUCCUUAGCGAAAUCUCAAGGUUGCGGGUUCGACCCCCGCGUGGGGCU
rfam:Sphaerobolus stellatus SS14 unplaced genomic scaffold SPHSTscaffold_19, whole genome shotgun sequence.